UCAGUUGUAAGCAACUGCUGUAUCUGGGUAAACAACUUAUUUGUCGAAAUUGUAUCUGCCAAUUAGUGAAUAAUAGUACUACUCUAAGAAUGAGUGAGCGUUAUAUGAUUAACGUGUGGUUUGUGAUUAAAAUCCUUAAUGCUGUUUUUGAAGAUUUGCCAUAUCCACCAGAACUCAGGUACGGAUGCCUCAUAAGAUAGGCUUCACUGUGAUCAGCUGGUCUGGGAAUGAAGGAAACUACACUGCCAAAUAUCUGAUGGUCCACGCGCCCACUGUCAGUGGCUGGAGAUCCACCAGGUUCUGUCCAUUCCUCUUAGAAAAUUAUAUUGCAGUUGUUUGAGAGAUGUCGCAUCCGGAAACUCCAGCUACUGGCCCAUCAGUACCUGAUCCCAUCCAAGAUCGACUUCCACAUUGGAGAUAGACUGCUGUUCAAAGUGCUGUGAAAUGUUUUUGCUGAACUAACUGUGUUGAGUGUAAUGUGUUGUCUAGGCAUGUGUCCCUCUCUGACAACGUGAAGACUGGUUUCAGACGAGAGAGCUGAAGUCUGUUCAUGUUGAUGCUGUUGGGUCUUACUUAAAGCUCACUUUUCACAGAAACCAUGUUAAUCAAUACAGCAUCUACAAUCAGGUACAAACAGAUUCAUGUGGGAAAUUAGG